rnacentral:rRNA from 1 species
ACACAUGCAAGUCGAACGAGCGAGAGAGAGCUUGCUUUCUCGAGCGAGUGGCGAACGGGUGAGUAACGCGUGAGGAACCUGCCUCAAAGAGGGGGACAACAGUUGGAAACGACUGCUAAUACCGCAUAAGCCCACGGCUCGGCAUCGAGCAGGGGGAAAAGGAGCAAUCCGCUUUGAGAUGGCCUCGCGUCCGAUUAGCUAGUUGGUGAGGUAACGGCCCACCAAGGCGACGAUCGGUAGCCGGACUGAGAGGUUGAACGGCCACAUUGGGACUGAGACACGGCCCAGACUCCUACGGGAGGCAGCAGUGGGGAAUAUUGCACAAUGGGGGAAACCCUGAUGCAGCGACGCCGCGUGGAGGAAGAAGGUCUUCGGAUUGUAAACUCCUGUUGUUGGGGAAGAUAAUGACGGUACCCAACAAGGAAGUGACGGCUAACUACGUGCCAGCAGCCGCGGUAAAACGUAGGUCACGAGCGUUGUCCGGAAUUACUGGGUGUAAAGGGAGCGCAGGCGGGAAGACAAGUUGGAAGUGAAAUCUAUGGGCUCAACCCAUAAACUGCUUUCAAAACUGUUUUUCUUGAGUAGUGCAGAGGUAGGCGGAAUUCCCGGUGUAGCGGUGGAAUGCGUAGAUAUCGGGAGGAACACCAGUGGCGAAGGCGGCCUACUGGGUACCAACUGACGCUGAGGCUCGAAAGUGUGGGUAGCAAACAGGAUUAGAUACCCUGGUAGUCCACACCGUAAACGAUGAUUACUAGGUGUUGGAGGAUUGACCCCUUCAGUGCCGCAGUUAACACAAUAAGUAAUCCACCUGGGG